CCCGGCCAUUGUCUAGUACGGCGAGUGAAGCGGCAACAGCUCAAAUUUGAAAGCUAGCCUUCGGGUUCGCAUUGUAAUUUGUAGAGGAUGCUUUGGGUAAAACGCCAGUCUAAGUUCCUUGGAACAGGACGUCAUAGAGGGUGAGAAUCCCGUAUGUGACUGGAAAUGUUAACCUAUGUAAAGCUCCUUCGACGAGUCGAGUUGUUUGGGAAUGCAGCUCUAAAUGGGAGGUAAAUUUCUUCUAAAGCUAAAUAUUGGCGAGAGACCGAUAGCGCACAAGUAGAGUGAUCGAAAGAUGAAAAGCACUUUGGAAAGAGAGUUAAAAAGCACGUGAAAUUGUUGAAAGGGAAGCGCUUGCAAUCAGACUUGUUUAAACUGUUCGGCCGGUCUUCUGACCGGUUUACUCAGUUUGGACAGGCCAGCAUCAGUUUCGGCGGCCGGAUAAAGGCUCUGGGAAUGUGGCCUCCACUUCGGUGGAGGUGUUAUAGCCCAGUGUGUAAUACGGCCAGCCGGGACUGAGGUCCGCGCUUCGGCUAGGAUGCUGGCGUAAUGGUUGUAAGCGACCCGUCUUGAACCACGGGACCA
rnacentral:rRNA from 1 species